AAACGGGUUUUCAGACAAAUCAAGAAAACCCCAAUUGGCGGUGGAAAGGAGGCUCCAAAGGCGGAUAAGCGGUGGUGCGAACAAUUACAAGUAGUUGUAGAGGGAGAAAGAUUUUAUAAGGGUUGGUUCUGUUUCUUGUUACCUGUUGAUACAGAUUCAGCUGUUUUUAGUUAGAAUUCCUCGAUUUCUUUUCAGAUAGACAGAGAGGAAAAGGGCAGAAAGAGGUCUUGUUUGUUUUGAUGGUUUUGGAGAGAGAAAUGUUGAGAUGGAAGAGCCGAUUUUGGAGGCGUGGGUACAAAGGUAAGAAUUUUCCAAGAACAUAUAUAAAACUUUCUGUUUUGCUGAAGAUUUUAGCUUGCACAGAUAGAAACAGAGGAAAGAGAAAGAUAGGAACUUUAUCAAACUCACUUUCUGGGUUAGGAUUAGGGUUAGGGGUCGGCUGAGGUCAGACCCCACACCGCCCUUUGGACGCG
rnacentral:misc_RNA from 1 species